AGAGUUUGAUCCUGGCUCAGAUUGAACGCUGGCGGCAGGCUUAACACAUGCAAGUCGAGCGGUAACAGAGAGUAGCUUGCUACUCUGCUGACGAGCGGCGGACGGGUGAGUAAUGCUUGGGAAUAUGCCUUUGAGUGGGGGACAACAGUUGGAAACGACUGCUAAUACCGCAUAACGUCUACGGACCAAAGGGGGGGAUCUUCGGACCUCUCGCCAUUUGAUUAGCCCAAGUGAGAUUAGCUAGUUGGUAAGGUAAAGGCUUACCAAGGCGACGAUCUCUAGCUGGUUUGAGAGGAUGAUCAGCCACACUGGGACUGAGACACGGCCCAGACUCCUACGGGAGGCAGCAGUGGGGAAUAUUGCACAAUGGGCGAAAGCCUGAUGCAGCCAUGCCGCGUGUGUGAAGAAGGCCUUCGGGUUGUAAAGCACUUUCAGUUGUGAGGAAAGGGAUGUAGUUAAUAGCUGCAUUCUGUGACGUUAACAACAGAAGAAGCACCGCUAACUU
rnacentral:rRNA from 1 species